rnacentral:rRNA from 1 species
AAGGCUAUGUUGGCCGGGCGACGGUUGUCCCGGUUUAAGCGUGUAGGUGUGUGUUCCAGGUAAAUCCGGUUCACUUUAACACUGAGGCGUGACGACGAGGCACUACGGUGCUGAAGCAACAAAUGCCCUGCUUCCAGGAAAAGCCUCUAAGCAUCAGGUAACAUCAAAUCGUACCCCAAACCGACACAGGUGGUCAGGUAGAGAAUACCAAGGCGCUUGAGAGAACUCGGGUGAAGGAACUAGGCAAAAUGGUGCCGUAACUUCGGGAGAAGGCACGCUGACACGUAGGUGAAGUGAUUUACUCAUGGAGCUGAAGUCAGUCGAAGAUACCAGCUGGCUGCAACUGUUUAUUAAAAACACAGCACUGUGCAAACACGAAAGUGGACGUAUACGGUGUGACGCCUGCCCGGUGCCGGAAGGUUAAUUGAUGGGGUCAGCGCAAGCGAAGCUCCUGAUCGAAGCCCCGGUAAACGGCGGCCGUAACUAUAACGGUCCUAAGGUAGCGAAAUUCCUUGUCGGGUAAGUUCCGACCUGCACGAAUGGCGUAAUGAUGGCCAGGCUGUCUCCACCCGAGACUCAGUGAAAUUGAACUCGCUGUGAAGAUGCAGUGUACCCGCGGCAAGACGGAAAGACCCCGUGAACCUUUACUAUAGCUUGACACUGAACAUUGAGCCUUGAUGUGUAGGAUAGGUGGGAGGCUUUGAAGUGUGGACGCCAGUCUGCAUGGAGCCGACCUUGAAAUACCACCCUUUAAUGUUUGAUGUUCUAACGUGGACCCGUGAUCCGGGUUGCGGACAGUGUCUGGUGGGUAGUUUGACUGGGGCGGUCUCCUCCUAAAGAGUAACGGAGGAGCACGAAGGUUGGCUAAUCCUGGUCGGACAUCAGGAGGUUAGUGCAAUGGCAUAAGCCAGCUUGACUGCGAGCGUGACGGCGCGAGCAGGUGCGAAAGCAGGUCAUAGUGAUCCGGUGGUUCUGAAUGGAAGGGCCAUCGCUCAACGGAUAAAAGGUACUCCGGGGAUAACAGGCUGAUACCGCCCAAGAGUUCAUAUCGACGGCGGUGUUUGGCACCUCGAUGUCGGCUCAUCACAUCCUGGGGCUGAAGUAGGUCCCAAGGGUAUGGCUGUUCGCCAUUUAAAGUGGUACGCGAGCUGGGUUUAGAACGUCGUGAGACAGUUCGGUCCCUAUCUGCCGUGGGCGCUGGAGAACUGAGGGGGGCUGCUCCUAGUACGAGAGGACCGGAGUGGACGCAUCACUGGUGUUCGGGUUGUCAUGCCAAUGGCACUGCCCGGUAGCUAAAUGCGGAAGAGAUAAGUGCUGAAAGCAUCUAAGCACGAAACUUGCCCCGAG